rnacentral:tRNA from 1 species
GAGGCUGUAGCUCAGUGGUAAAGCACUUGCCUAACAUGUAUGAGGCACUGGGUUUGAUCCUCAACACCACA